ACUAAAUAGAUACCCAGGUAGUCCACGCCCUAAACGAUGAUUACUCGACAUUGGCGAUAUUACUGUUCAGUGUCUGAGCGAAAGCGUUAAGUAAUCCACCUGGGGAGUACGCCCGCAAGGGUGAAACUCAAAGGAAUUGACGGGGGUCCGCACAAGCGGAGGAGCAUGUGGUUUAAUUCGAUGAUACGCGAGGAACCUUACCUGGGCUAGAAUGCGCGUGAAUGUUCGGAAACGAGACAGGCUCAGCAAUGAGACACAAAGCAAGGUGCUGCAUGGCUGUCGUCAGCUCGUGCCGUGAGGUGUUGGGUUUAAGUCCCGCAACGAGCGCAACCCUCAUCAUUAGUUGCCAGCGGGUAGAGCCGGGGACUCUAGUGAAACUGCCUGCGUAAGCAGCGA
rnacentral:rRNA from 1 species